GACGAACGCUGGCGGCGUGCUUAACACAUGCAAGUCGAGCGGAAAGGCCCUUCGGGGUACUCGAGCGGCGAACGGGUGAGUAACACGUGAGUAACCUGCCCCAGACUUUGGGAUAACCCUCGGAAACGGGGGCUAAUACCGGAUACGACACAGCUUCGCAUGGGGUCUGUGUGGAAAGUUUUUCGGUUUGGGAUGGGCUUGCGGCCUAUCAGCUUGUUGGUGGGGUGAUGGCCUACCAAGGCGACGACGGGUAGCCGGCCUGAGAGGGCGACCGGCCACACUGGGACUGAGACACGGCCCAGACUCCUACGGGAGGCAGCAGUGGGGAAUAUUGCACAAUGGGCGGAAGCCUGAUGCAGCGACGCCGCGUGAGGGAUGACGGCCUUCGGGUUGUAAACCUCUUUCAGCAGGGACGAAGCGUAAGUGACGGUACCUGCAGAAGAAGCGCCGGCCAACUACGUG
rnacentral:rRNA from 1 species